GUGGAAGGAAGUUCACUGUAGAGGUUACUAACUGAGUGUGUUAAUCACUCAUCCUAUCACCUCGGGGAAGGUCUGAGAUAAGAGCCAAUCGCUGUCCUCACAGGACAUCAUCUGAACAGAUGAGCGAGCGCACAGGAAAGAUGGGUCAGAACGCGGUGUUCACGCACAAGACGUUGGAACGCAGAAUAGCGAACCAAUUGAUGCGAACCCGUUGACUUGGAAACGCUUGCGGCUGGCGCAGUGAGUUCAAUGUGUGAACUGGCACAAGAUGCUAGAACCCAAUUCAGACUACUCUCCUACCAC
ensembl:ribozyme RNaseP_nuc Nuclear RNase P